rnacentral:rRNA from 1 species
UACAGAGGGUGCAAGCGUUAAUCGGAAUUACUGGGCGUAAAGCGCGCGUAGGCGGCUGCUUAAGUCGGAUGUGAAAUCCCCGGGCUCAACCUGGGAACUGCAUUCGAUACUGAGCAGCUAGAGUAUGAGAGAGGGAGGUAGAAUUCCACGUGUAGCGGUGAAAUGCGUAGAUAUGUGGAGGAAUACCGGUGGCGAAGGCGGCCUCCUGGCUUAAUACUGACGCUGAGGUGCGAAAGCGUGGGGAGCAAACAGG